CCUACGGGUGGCAGCAGUGAGGAAUAUUGGUCAAUGGGCGCGAGCCUGAACCAGCCAAGUCGCGUGAGGGAAGACGGCCCUACGGGCUGUAAACCUCUUUUGCCGGGGAGCAACGGGGGCCACGUGUGGCUCCACUGAGAGUACCCGGAGAAAAAGCAUCGGCUAACUCCGUGCCAGCAGCCGCGGUAAUACGGAGGAUGCGAGCGUUAUCCGGAUUUAUUGGGUUUACAGGGUGCGUAGGCGGGGCGUUAAGUCAGUGGUCAAAUUGAGGGGCUCAACCCCUCCCCGCCAGUGAAACUGGCGCUCUUGAGUGGAAGAGAGGUAUGCGGAAUGCGUGGUGUAGCGGUGAAAUGCAUAGAGAUCACGCAGAACCCCGAUUGCGAAGGCAGCAUGCCGGCUUCCGACUGACGCUGAAGCGCGAAAGCGUGGGGAGCGAAAGGGAUUAGAUACCCGAGUAGUC
rnacentral:rRNA from 1 species